CAGCAGCCACGGUAAUACAGAGGGUGCGAGCGUUAAUCGGAUUUACUGGGCGUAAAGCGUGCGUAGGCGGCUUUUUAAGUCGGAUGUGAAAUCCCUGAGCUUAACUUAGGAAUUGCAUUCGAUACUGGGAAGCUAGAGUAUGGGAGAGGAUGGUAGAAUUCCAGGUGUAGCGGUGAAAUGCGUAGAGAUCUGGAGGAAUACCGAUGGCGAAGGCAGCCAUCUGGCCUAAUACAGACGCUGAGGUACGAAAGCAUGGGGAGCAAACAGGAUUAGAUACCCGUGUAGUCCCUGUCUCUUAUAC
rnacentral:rRNA from 1 species